AGUGAACGCUGGCGGUAGGCCUAACACAUGCAAGUCGAACGGAGCGGCGGAAGGGUGAGUAAUGACUAGGAAACUGCCUGGUAGUGGGGGGUAACGUCCGGAAACGGGCGCUAAUACCGCAUACUAUCAGAUGAGCCUAGGUCGGAUUAGCUAGUUGGUGGGGUAAAGGCCUACCAAGGCGACGAUCCGUAACUGGUCUGAGAGGAUGAUCAGUCACACUGGAACUGAGACACGGUCCUGACUCCUACGGGAGGCAGCAGGGGAGAAGAUGGGACUAUGGGCGAAAGCCUGAACCAGCCAUGCCGCGUGUGUGAGUAAGGUCUUCGGAUUGUAAAGCAGUUUAAGUUGGGAGGCGUUACCAACAGAAUAAGCACCGGCUAACUACGUGCCAGCAGCCGCGGUAAUAC
rnacentral:rRNA from 1 species